GGGAGACUCAUCUGCUAUUAUAGCUCCGGCCCGCCUCGGGGCCCCGGCGUGCGAAUUCCGCCUCGGGAGCCGGACUCCGGGGUGCGAGGGGGGGGGGCGCGGAUCCAGGGCAGGACGCGCGGGUGCGGCUCGCCGGGGGGUCGGGCCGCCGGGACCCUUGCGCCGGGCCGCCAGACCCUUGCGCGGGGUCCACUCGGACCGCGGCUUCUGUCGGGGAGCUGGCAGGUGUGCGCGCCCGAGCCCCGGGCUGCACCCCAGGACCCCCGGCUGGUCCCCCGCGCAGGGAAGGGAAGCGGGGCGCGACCCCCCAGCCUGGAGAGCGCGCCCGGGCCUCGGCCCCGGCCCCUCCGCUCCCGGCAGAACCGAGGCCUCUCAUCCUCCUCGGGGGCCCCGGGUGACCGCGCCCCUCGCCCGGGCGCCCCGCUUGCGCCCCNNNNNNNNNNNNNNNNNNNNNNNNNNNNNNAGGCCCCGCCCCGCACGCCCUCGCCCGAAGGAGACGAGGUGCCCAGCCCGGGAGGGAGCAUAAAGGGGGCCCUGUUGCCGCCGCCGCCGCCCCAUUCAGGGCCGAAUUCAAAUGGAUAUUUCCCCCGCGGCCCCGCCGCCGAGCCUCAAUGCCUCAAAGACUCAACGGCAGGAAUUUGUCUGACACACUCAGGGCGGCUGAGAGUCCAAGUCGGACAAAUGCUGUCCCAAUAAAGACAUAACAGGUCGGUAUGUAUGUAUAACGGUGACACUGUAAAAAAGAAGGAGGGGAGAGAAAAGAGAAGGGGGAAAAAACUACACUCUGGAGGGACUUCCCAAAUGAACUCAUCAUUUGCAUUGAUCCUAAAUGGAGAAUUAAAAAAUAUCAUUCUGACUUAACCAAAAUACAGAUUACAGCAGGCCCUGUUGCUGUAGACUCAGGGCUACCAUUCUUAAGUGAUUCUCUCCACCAAAUUUGGUAACUAGUCACAAGAACUCUCAGAUAAAAGUCGUAAAGCUGUAGUUAACUCUAUCCCCAAGGCCAAAGUUUAAAAAAAAGGGGGGGGGGCAGGCACUCAUAAUUGCUCUCUAAAGUCAGGAGGCUACUAUGAAGGUGGCCAAACACCAACUUUAUUCAUUUUUAAAAGGUCCAGCAUAUGUACUGAUCAUGAAAGACAGCCAUCAGUAUAUGUCCUGCCCACCCCCCUCCUAUUUGUUCAGAAGGUAGACAUGUACCAAUAAAUACAUUUACAAGCCCA
rnacentral:lncRNA from 1 species